rnacentral:rRNA from 1 species
UACGAAGGGGGCUAGCGUUGUUCGGAAUUACUGGGCGUAAAGCGCGCGCAGGCGGUCUUCCAAGUCAGUGGUGAAAGCCCGGAGCUCAACUCCGGAACUGCCAUUGAAACUGUGAGACUUGAGGAUGAGAGAGGUGAGUGGAAUUCCCAGUGUAGAGGUGAAAUUCGUAGAUAUUGGGAAGAACACCGGUGGCGAAGGCGGCUCACUGGCUCAUUU